UUCUUGAAGCGGGGGUGCCCGGCGUUUGCCGGGCUGAGAGAGUCCCUUGGAACCUGAUCCGGUUUGUACCGGCGUAGGAAGCUUGCAGAUUCGGCAC
rnacentral:ncRNA from 2 species